UCUGGUGGCUAUGGCAAGAGCUCCCCACCCGAUCCCAUUCCGAACUCGGAAGUUAAGGCUCUUCGCGCCGAUGGUACUUUGUCUUAAGGCACGGGAGAGUAGGUCGCCGCCAGGU
rnacentral:rRNA from 1 species